GAUGAACGCUGGCGGCGUGCCUAAUACAUGCAAGUCGAGCGAACAGACGAGGAGCUUGCUCCUCUGACGUUAGCGGCGGACGGGUGAGUAACACGUGGAUAACCUACCUAUAAGACUGGGAUAACUUCGGGAAACCGGAGCUAAUACCGGAUAAUAUAUUGAACCGCAUGGUUCAAUAGUGAAAGACGGUUUUGCUGUCACUUAUAGAUGGAUCCGCGCCGCAUUAGCUAGUUGGUAAGGUAACGGCUUACCAAGGCAACGAUGCGUAGCCGACCUGAGAGGGUGAUCGGCCACUCUGGAGCUGAGACACGGUCCAGACUCCUACGGGAGGCAGCAGUAGGGAAUCUUCCGCAAUGGGCGAAAGCCUGACGGAGCAACGCCGCGUGAGUGAUGAAGGUCUUCGGAUCGUAAAACUCUGUUAUUAGGGAAGAACAAAUGUGUAAGUAACUAUGCACGUCUUGACGGUACCUAAUCAGAAAGCCACGGCUAACUACGUG
rnacentral:rRNA from 1 species